rnacentral:rRNA from 1 species
UACGGAGGAUCCAAGCGUUAUCCGGAUUUAUUGGGUUUAAAGGGUGCGUAGGCGGCUUAUUAUGUCAGGGGUGAAAGACGGUGGCUCAACCAUCGCAGUGCCCUUGAUACUGAUGAGCUUGAAUACACUUGAGGUAGGCGGAAUGUGACAAGUAGCGGUGAAAUUCUUAGAUAUGACACAGAACACCAAUUGCGAAGGCAGCUCGCUAAACUGUAACUGACGCUGAGGCACGAAAGCGUGGGGAUCAAACAGG